rnacentral:misc_RNA from 1 species
UGGACAAUCAUUCCUUAAAAGCAAAGUAUUAGAAAUCUGGAGAGCCCAAAGCCUGGGGAGAAUUCUUUCUAGAUGGGCAGUAUAAAAGAAUACAGUUAUGAGUUUGACAUCACAUUUAAACCAAAACCUUAAGACAAUAAGUUUAUGGGUCUCUCCACUUAUAUAUCCUUCACUCAUCUCUAUCUUUUUCAGAUGUUAGAAUUCCACACUUGUAUAUUCCCAACACAAAGUAAUUAAGCUUCUUCACC